rnacentral:rRNA from 1 species
CAAUAGCGUAUAUUAAAGUUGUUGCAGUUAAAAGCUCGUAGUUGGACUUCUGACGUGGGACUGCGCCCCGUUCCUUUUGGGACGUUGGGUGCGGACUUGUGUCUUCCUCUCGUAGUUGGUUGGUGCACUUAACUGGGUGCCUUCUGAAUAUGGGACCUUUACUUUGAAAAAUUAGAGUGUUCAAAGCAGGCAUUGGCUUGAAUACAUUAGCAUGGAAUAAUAGAAUAGGACUUUGGUUCUAUUUUGUUGGUUUCUAGGACCGAAGUAAUGAUUAAUAGGGACAGUUGGGGGCAUUAGUAUUUAAUUGUCAGAGGUGAAAUUCUUGGACCUCGAGACUAACAACUGCGAAAGACAUUUGUCCAAGGAUGUUCUCUUUAAUUCAAGAACGAAAGUUAAGGGGAGUCGAAGAUGAUUAGAUACCAU